GUUCAUAAUUUAUAAAGUAUUGACACAGAAAGAUAUAGGGAGAAUGAGAAGAGGAAGAGAAGAGAGCGAAAGAAGACAAACACAGAAAAGUGAAUGGUAGACUGCAAAAAAAGCAAUCAAUCUUCUUAAGCUAAUGGAAAAAAAAUUGGCCGUGAAAUAAUGGUGAUUCUUGUAGCCCAUUUGUUGGCAUUUUAAAGUAAGACAUAAAAUAGCAGAGGUUCCUCUGGACAAAGAAAAAGAAGGAGAAAGAAGAGGGACUAUGAAGCAGGACAAAUUAUUAAGAGCAGGUUCAGAAAUUGCUGUGAUGAGGUGCACCUAUCCUGUUUCCA